rnacentral:rRNA from 1 species
ACUCAAAUGAAUUGACGGGGGCCCGCACAAGCGGUGGAGCAUGUGGUUUAAUUCGACGCAACGCGAAGAACCUUACCGGGGCUUGACAUCGGAGGCAAACUCUAGAAAUAGAGCUUAGGGGCAACCCUACUUCCAGACAGGUGCUGCAUGGCUGUCGUCAGCUCGUGCCGUGAGGUGUUGGGUUAAGUCCCGCAACGAGCGCAACCCUUGUCGUGUGUUGGUCCACAAGAUCUCUCACACGAGACCGCCGGUGAGAAGCCGGAGGAAGGUGGGGAUGACGUCAAGUCCGCAUGGCCCUUACGUCCCGGGCUACACACGUGCUACAAUGCGCCGAACAACGAGCAGCGAACUCGCGAGGGUAAGCAAAUCUCUUAAAUCGGCGCUCAGUUCGGAUUGAAGGCUGCAACUCGCCUUCAUGAAGUCGGAAUCGCUAGUAAACGCAGAUCAGCUACGCUGCGUUGAAUACGUUCCCGGGCCUUGUACACACCGCCCGU